GGCAAGGUGUGUGAGUGCAGGUCUAGCUCAGAGAUGUGUGGACAACAAGGCAUCGUUAGCCUUUGAGGCUUUGUGGGACUGCACAGGGAUGGGGGCAGGAAUGAAGAGAAAAACGAUCAUCAAGAAGGAAUGCAGCAUCCUGAAAGAGCCAAAGCUACUGUUCCCACUCAGUGACUUUCUUGUACCUUGUGGAAAUUCCCAGGGAAAUGUGGAGAAGACGAGUGUUAGAUUGACAAUGGCCUGGCAAUGGUCUAUCAUUGCGGUGAUGCCCAGAAAACGACUGACAUCCUUUUACUCACUCCUUGGCCAGAGGGAAUUUACUAUGGAUGUGUCCAGUUCAGGUGUUUCAUAAUGAGAGAGCAGUCAGAGCCUCGUGUGCUGGAUAGAGAGUCACCAGGUAUAACAAGGAGUGCGAAUCCUUGUGCAGCUCAAGGGGGAUGAGUCUAAGGUGGUUGUUGUUGUUGUGUGUGUGUGAGACCUGGUAUACGUGUGGGUGUGGUAUGACCAUAGUGUCAGUGCGUCUGCGUAUGUGGGAAUGGGACCUCGCUUUUCUCUUGCCGUCUCCGGGGCCAGGGCUAUAGGAUCCUCUGUCCAGGUAUAGGCAUC
rnacentral:lncRNA from 9 species